GUCCCCCACACUGGUACUGAGACACGGACCAGACUCCUACGGGAGGCAGCAGUGAGGAAUAUUGGUCAAUGGGCGAAAGCCUGAACCAGCCAUGCCGCGUGAAGGAUGACGGCCCUACGGGUUGUAAACUUCUUUUGUUUGAGAAGAAACCUCCCUACGUGUAGGGGGCUGACGGUAUCGAACGAAUAAGCAUCGGCUAACUCCGUGCAGCAGCCGCGGUAAUACGGAGGAUGCAAGCGUUAUCCGGAUUCAUUGGGUUUAAAGGGUACGCAGGCGGAAGACUAAGUCAGUGGUGAAAUCCUGCAGCUUAACUGUAGAACUGUCAUUGAUACUGGUUUUCUUGGAUUCAGUUGAGGUAGGCGGAAUGUGUAAUGUAGCGGUGAAAUGCUUAGAUAUUACACAGAACACCGAUUGCGAAGGCAGCUUACUAAACUGCGAUUGACGCUGAGGUACGAAAGCGUGGGUAGCAAACAGGAUUAGAUACCCUGGUAGUCCACGCCGUAAACUAUGAUCACUCGUUGUUGGCAACACAUCGUCAGCGACUGAGCGAAAGCAUUAGUUGAUCCACCUGGGGAGUACGGCCGCAAGGUUGAAACUCCAAGGAAUUGACGGGGGCCCGCACAAAGCGGAGGAACAUGUGGUUUAAUUCGAUGAUACGCGAGGAACCUUACCUGGGCUUAAAUGUAGAGCGUCGGACCGGGAAACUGGUCUUUCUUCGGACGAUCUACAAGGUGCUGCAUGGCUGUCGUCAGCUCGUGCCGUGAGGUGUCGGGUUUAAGUCCCAUAACGAGCGCAACCCUUAUCAUUAGUUUGCCAGCGGGUAAUGCCGGGGACUCUAAUGAAACUGCCGGUUGUAAACCGAGAGGAAGGUGGGGAUGACGUCAAGUCAGCACGGCCCUUUAUGUCCAGGGCUACACACGUGUUACAAUGUCGGUACAAAGGGCAGCUACCAGNCGACUGGAUGCUAAUCUCGAAAGCCGAUCUCAGUUCGGAUCGGAGUCUGCAACUCGACUUCGUGAAGCUGGAUUCGCUAGU
rnacentral:rRNA from 1 species